rnacentral:rRNA from 1 species
UACGUAGGGUGCGAGCGUUAAUCGGAAUUACUGGGCGUAAAGCGUGCGCAGGCGGUUUUGUAAGACAGAUGUGAAAGCCCCGGGCUUAACCUGGGAAUGGCAUUUGGGACUGCAAGGCUUGAGUGCGGCAGAGGAGACUGGAAUUCCUGGUGUAGCAGUGAAAUGCGUAGAUAUGCGGAGGAACACCGAUGGCGAAGGCAAUCCCCUGGGCCUGCACUGACGCUCAUGCACGAAAGCGUGGGGAGCAAACAGG